UCCCUGGUGGUCCAGUGGUUAAGAUUCUGUGCUUCAACGGCAGGAGGCACAGGUUCGAUUCCUGGUCAGGGAG
rnacentral:tRNA from 1 species